rnacentral:rRNA from 1 species
GACGAACGCUGGCGGCGUGCUUAACACAUGCAAGUCGAACGGAAAGGCCCUGCUUUUGUGGGGUGCUCGAGUGGCGAACGAGUGAGUAACACGUGAGUAACCUGCCCUUGACUUUGGGAUAACUUCAGGAAACUGGGGCUAAUACCGGAUAGGAGCUCCUGCUGCAUGGUGGGGGUUGGAAAGUUUCGGCGGUUGGGGAUGGACUCGCGGCUUAUCAGCUUGUUGGUGGGGUAGUGGCUUACCAAGGCUUUGACGGGUAGCCGGCCUGAGAGGGUGACCGGCCCCAUUGGGACUGAGAUACGGCGCAGAGUGCAACGGGAGGCAGCAGGGGGGAAUAUUGCACAGUGGGCGGAAGCCUGAUGCAGCAGCGCCGCGUGCGUGAUGUCGGCCUUCGGGUUGUAAAACGCUUUCGCCUGUGACGAAGCGUGAGUGACGGUAAUGGGUAAAGAAGCACCGGCUAACUACGUG